UGAUAGGAUCAGGCUUGUUUUGUUA
rnacentral:piRNA from 1 species